AUUCAAGUGUAGUUACACGUGGCACUACUUAGCAUAGGAACUGAUAAUUUUUUCUACUUUCAAUCCUCUUCUCGGUGUUCCUCUGCUUUUGGCUGAUACCUAAAUCUGGAGGUUUCUUUGAAUCUUUCUUCUUGUUUUUCACCUUCGAUUUCAUGCAUGAUAUAUUGGUGUGUUUUAAUUGAAUUUCGGCUUUUUUUAGUUUUUUGAGAUAUACUAAAUAAAGAAGCCUCUGCACUCAUGGUUUCGUCUGCAAUUUGUUCAUUCCUUGCUUUCAUUUGGUUCAAGCGAUGCUCUGAUUUUUCAUAGUUUUCAUGGAUUUUACUCCACUGUGCUUAGUUUCCUUGCCGUUAUGUGUUUCGUCUAAUUUUAUUUGUUCUCUUUUUUUGUUCUAUCGGGGGUUACAAGUCGGGUUAAAUUAUGAUGGUUUCAGAUUUGCAUAUGAAGUGUUUGAUAAAAGUGUUUACUAACUACUAAGCCUCUGCUUCAUUGAUCAAAGAAACCAUUCUUGUUGUCCUCAAUUAAUGCUCUUAUUUGAGUUCCCUUAAUAUCAUUGAUGUUAACUUGCUUGAAUUUGGUUAUUCCUAUUUGUGUGUCUCGAUGUGUUGUCGCCAUAGUUUGGUUUACUAUGUGAAAAAUCAUAUCAUAGUAGUUGUUACUAAUGUUGUUUCGGUACAGUGUAGAAUUUGUUUUUAUAUUUGGAAUGACAAGAGCUAUUGUAUAGGACUGGGUUUUACCUUGUGCACAACCUCCAAAGGAUAGCGACUACAAUUUCCCUUGUUAUCAAAAAAAUUUGCACUUUCCUGGAAACUACAAAUAUUGAGUUGUUAUAAUGGACAUUAAAAUGGCUAUUCUGGAAAAGAAUAUAUCUGUGAAAUGAUAUCUUCAGGGGCCAUUUUGGUGAUGAUCUUAUCUGAUGUCUCUGUGUUUCCUGUUUUAAAAGGGAAAAGAAAUUGUUUAUCCUUUCAUAGUUUAUGAAAAGGGUUUGGCUUGUUAUUCCAUAUUGAUUAUUUAUCAUGAAACCCAAGAACAUAAUAUUAUCAGUUUGAUUCCUAACAACAAUUUAGGUAGGUCUCUAAAGAGAUUUGUGUUGGAUAGCCAGCUUUUGGGGAUAGCCCAAAAUUUUGAUAAAUUCUUAUUUCACCAACCAAACUUGUUUUCAAAAUUACCAUUCCUCAUAUUUUUGCUUGUAUAACAAUGUUAUUGUGGCUAUUAUUACCUUCUGAGACCAAGAAGAGGACCAAGAGUGUGAUCGGGAGCUGCUGGAUUCAGAUAUAAAAGGUGAAUCACUGAACCUAUUUGAUGAAGAACUUGACGCAAAAGUUUCUUUGUGACCAUUAACAAAAUCUGUAGAAGAGAUUUGAUAUAAGUCUUACUCUUCCCGACUAUUUUGAUCUCUCUCAAAUGUAUUACUUUUGAUAGAUAGAGAGGCGUAUGUUAUUAAAUAUUUGCCACGUACUUCCAGCUUUAAAAUGAUUUCCCCUCUCCGUUGGUGCGUGUUCCUUGUUUCUUUUUUUUUUUUGUUUUUUAUGGUUAUUUGGCAUGUGCAGAGAAAAUAUGCCUAAUAUUAGAAGAUUAUGCUAUCACAAUUUUCUAGACUCUAAACCUCUUACCUCAUUCUUAUGUCCAUCUUUAGUUACUCUUAUGUCCAUCUUUAGUUUGCUAUUUUCAUAUUUCCAUUGUUUUAUGGAGUUGCUAUAUCCAAUUACUUUAACAUGACGUUUUUCCUUCAAAAUUCUGUGGAAAGGUUUCUUUGUUAUACUUCACCAACCUUUUUUUCUUUAUUCCUUGGAGGGAAGUGAUUAGUGAAUUCGUCUUAGAUUUCUGCAAGCUACAUUUAAAUGAAGUUUUGUGAUAGUUCUCUUUGCUUUUGUGGCUUGAUUUUCUUUAGAUCAAGCAAAAACACUUUACUUCCAAUGUUUCAAAUUGAAUUUACAUAUUUUGAUUUUAUCAUUUAUCUCAAAUGUCUUAGGUGAGAUUUGGUUUUAAAUUUCGAAAAAAAUCUGUCUUUCUUUGCAUUUGGUUGAAAACAGUUUUUAUAACAAUCUAAAGGUAGUUCUGCGAAAGCUCUGUUUUGAACUUUUAAACCAAACAACACCUCUUGUAUUUUAAUCAUCCGCUACUUUACUGAAUACCACAUUUCUCUUACUUUUUUGGAGAAGCAAAAAGGCUACCAUUGUGCUUCAUAUGCUUCACCUUUAGAUUCUCAUCUCUUAAUAUGCCAAGUCAAAUUGGACAUUCAAUAUUGAACAUAGUAAUUAUUUAGUUUAUCUAUCCAGUGUUUUCUUUUACAUGAUUGUCUCUAUAUUGUGUUUGUAUGAUUCAUCAUGGUAAUAAGCUAGCAUCUGUUGGAGUUUGAUUUUUUAUUUCAUUGAAUUUAACGGGUGGAAUAUCAUUUGUAACUUGUUUUGGGAUUGCAGGGGCUCGAAAAUAUUUCCUAACUUCGUAUCGUUUAUGAAGAGCAAGGAUUCUAGUGAUUGUACUAAACAGGCACUUUUUGAUGAAUUGAAGGCUUUGGAAGAGCAUCUCAAGGCUCAUGGACCAUAUGUCAAUGGACAGAAUGUUUGUUCAGUUGAUAUGAGCUUGGCUCCAAAAAUGUACCAUCUCGAGGUGGCUCUUGGACACUUCAAGAAGUGGAGUGUGACUGAAAGCUUGAGUCACGUGCGUAAUACAUGAAGGAAUUGGCUCGUUAAUGUAGCCACUCGAAUGGGAGAAGAGGGGCUGAUUCUGAUGGAUUUGUUGCAAUUUGGUGGAAAGCGAGCAAAUUAUCCAGUUGAAAGGGUAUAAAGUAUCAUUGUUCAGGUUUCAUGUUCUAGAAGCGUUUGAUGAGGGGAAGCGGAGCUGUCGUAGACGUUUAGCUGGUCAUAACAAACGAAGAAGGAAAACACAUCCAGAAAAUGUAGCUAAUGGAGCCUCCGUGAAUGAUGAGGGGGGUAGCAACUACUUAUUAAUUAGUCUGCUGAGGAUACUGGCCAAUGUACAGUGAGAGUUGUUUGCAUAAGUUAUAUUAAGUUUGAAUGGCUGAAACAUCAGCACAGGUUCUUACUACCUAAUUUAGCUGUUCUGUGUUAUCUAAAGGCUACACAUGACAUUGGGCAUUGAGUCAUGGACUAUGUUGCUCGGACUCUUCAAAAAUAUUGAUGGGUGCGUGUCAGAUACAUCAAAGUGGUGCAUAUUUGGAGUACCCAACACAGGUGCAGCAACAUUUUUGGAGAGUCCUAGCAACAUAGGUCAGGGAUUAACAGCUGAGUAAUUGAUGGCCAUUAAAAUAAUCUUGGUGGAAAUUAUCUAUUGAUGCUUCUCUACUGGAACUUAAGCCAUCACUACUUUUGGACUAGAACAACUGUUUAGGCAUGUUUUAUUCUCCAACAAGCUUUUGGGCUCCACAAGAAUCAUGAUCAUGUAUAGGCACAUAGAUACUUAUUUAGAGAUUUUGGUUUAAUGAAUUGGAUGAGUUACUUUA